rnacentral:rRNA from 1 species
AUGCAGAAUGCAUUGUUGAAGCUAUGGGCAAUGGUUGAAGAUGCCAAAAGUGCUAGGGUGAAUGGCAAUCUUGAGAAUUCUUUCACUAUCCACCAUCUGACAGAAGAGAAGAACAAGCUGGAGGCCAACUAUGACAAGCUAGUCCAAGAUGUGCAUGAGCUGAUGAACUUCCAGGAAGAUAAGGUGGUGGAUUUCAGGCAUCUGCAGUCUGCCAUUACAUAUCAGCAGGAGGUAAGAAAAGAACUAACUGAUGAUAUGAAGGCAAAGAUGGCAACUGAGAUGGCAAAGAAAGAUGCAGAGACCCAGCAACUUACUCAGAAGUAUGAGGUGCUGCUCAACCUGACAAGAGCUCAAGCAACAGUCAUUCAGAACUUGAAGUUGAACAAAAUGAAAGAGAAGCAAGUGCUUACUGAAGCUAGUAUGAAUUUGGAGCUGAAGAAUGCAGAGCUAACUAAGUGUCAGGAGAAGCUCACCCAAGAGAAGCUAGAGUUGAAGCUUCAGGUUGCUGAUCUGCUUAAGGGAAAUAAAAAGCGUAUUGAAGAGAAGUGGCAGUUAGAGUUUCAGAAUGAAAAGUUGAAGGAGAAGUUCAGGGGGAUUCAAGCCAUCUUGGAGAAGUGA